GAUUGAUGACCUAUGGUUCUAUUUACUUAAUGGGGUCAUUCCAACAAGCAUGUAACUUAUCAUUUCAUGUGACCUUUUGAUUCCAAACUUAUCGAAACUUUUUGAGUGAUCACUAUAGGCAGUGAUAGAUGUGGGACACAUGAGAGAGGUUUCAUUAAUGUCACCCAAGCAUGCACUUUGAAAAGGGCCUAUAUGCAAGCAAGGGUGUGUUCUCCAUGUUUAACUUGAGGCUCACUUUCAUGGAUUGACUUUAACAUGAUCAUCACCACUUAUCAUGACAUGUUUGAGCUCAAAACCUAGGGUCUAACUAGUGGCAAACACCUGGGGUGUUACAACUACCACUUGCUACAUUCUUUCAGGAGAUGAGUGCUCUAAAAAAGAGAAAAAAUAAUAAUAAUACGAGGAAAUAAAAAGGGGCAAGUGCCCGGAACCUCGAAGAAAAGAAAAAGUGAGACGAGAGGUAAAAAUGGACAAGUGUCCGACAGUAGAAUUAGGGGUACAAGAUACCCACCUGAGAGGAAAGAAAAAGAAAAUAUAGAGCAUCUCUGUCGAGGGUAUCAACAAGGGGUACCCUCACCAAUGCGUAUAACGAGGCCAUCCGUACGCACGCGCGGCCAUCGACGGCCAUGCGUAUACGCAGCCUUCGACGUCCACAACC
rnacentral:lncRNA from 1 species